GGUGAAAUGAACCUCCCCGAUAUGUCCGAACAACCGAGUCCUUGGCCAUCUUCAAAGGACAGAGCUUGACAUCUUGAAAGGUCUUCCAGAGAGAUGGUAAAAAGAAAAGACAUGCAAUAUGGACAAUGGAAGGAGAAAUCCUUCAGAAACAGGAGGCUAAUGAACCAGUGGUUAUUGGAAGAACAUUUCCAGUAUGUGUCCAGGUUGUGGGAAACCAACAGAUUGUAACCUCUCUCAGCUUUUCAUUGCCUCUCCUAACCCUGGAUACUCACAGGAAGCCAAUGGAGCCAAGAAGUACACUUAACCACCGAAAGAAUCUCCACACAUCCUUGCCUGAUGUAUCAAAUUUAGCGUAACCUUGUCAUGAUUCAGCUUCCCUACAGGGGGCACUGAGUUAUGCAGAGACCCUGUUUAUCCGCAACAUAACAGCAGCUGAGCUUGUGUGUGGUCAGAAGAGAUAUAAAUGCUCAGGGUGCUUGCAUUACUAUGAUUAUCUGGACUGGUUUCUGGCACACAUACAGCAAGGCAGAAUGGAAGGCUUUAGCUAUAGACUUUUCUACUGCAAAAUGAAGAGCAUUCAGAAACAGAAAUAUACAAAGAGUAUAGAUCCUUUAUCCUGUAUCGCUAUC